rnacentral:rRNA from 1 species
GACGAACGCUGGCGGCGUGCUUAACACAUGCAAGUCGAACGGAAAGGCCCUGCUUUUGUGGGGUGCUCGAGUGGCGAACGGGUGAGUAACACGUGAGUAACCUGCCCUUGACUUUGGGAUAACUUCAGGAAACUGGGGCUAAUACCGGAUAGGAGCUCCUGCUGCAUGGUGUGGGUUGGAAAGUUUCGGCGGUGGGGGAUGGACUCGCGGCUUAUCAGCUUGUUGGUGGGGUAGUGGCUUACCAAGGCUUUGACGGGUAGCCGGCCUGAGAGGGUGACCGGCCACAUUGGGACUGAGAUACGGCCCAGACUCCUACGGGAGGCAGCAGUGGGGAAUAUUGCACAAUGGGCGGAAGCCUGAUGCAGCAACGCCGCGUGCGGGAUGACGGCCUUCGGGUUGUAAACCGCUUUCGCCUGUGACGAAGCGUGAGUGACGGUAAUGGGUAAAGAAGCACCGGCUAACUACGUG